ACUAUUCUUACUUUCACACUUAAGACAUUCAAAUUUUUGAUAGACAUUCUUAACCUCAUCACUUUCUCCUAAGAGUUUCUAUCUCCAAUUGUUGAUUAAUUAGCACUUAUUGAAAGGAGGCCACUGUCUGUUUUCUCAACUUUGUAUUAACAAUAAACGGGGAAAGAGAGAUCUGUUUAAAAGAAUCAUGCCUUCUGUGACAGAAAAAUAUCUUUUAAGAUACAUUUAGAAAUAAUACAAUUGAAUACGGAACAUUAUUUUCCAACUUUGGUGCAAAUGAUAUAGCGAUUUAAGCACUUUGAUUUGAACAUUUUGGAAAGCCCUUGUUUAUAUACAAUAGUUUUUAUCUUCUGCUGUUUUAUUUGUUAACUUUUGUAUAUUUUUCCCUGUAGAUUUGCGGAAAAAAUAAAUUUGUCAGAAUGGCGGCAUCAACUUGAAUUCUCCAGGAUGACAGUGUAAAAGCACUUUCAUAACCUUAAGUUGGAUAUCAUUGGAAGAAGGAAAAAAAAACCACUCAGGCUGUCAGCCAAAUCAGGAAUAUUGGAAGGACUAAUGAAAAGAACUGGAGUCAGGGGUUUAAAAUAGGACUCUUGGAACCAAGAUAUCUGGAAAUAACACUUAUAAGGGAAUGGAAAAUAUGCAUUAUUGUGUACCAGACCCCAUUAAAGUGUUUUUCAU
rnacentral:lncRNA from 1 species